UGUGAUGACCCUAGCGGACUUCUAUCUGGUAUGGCUCAGAGGAUGCUGUCCAAAUAUAAUAAAUAUUGGGGGCAAGUUGAGAAGAUAAAUAGAUUACUCUUUGUGGCUGUGAUCCUUGACCCCCGAUUCAAGUUGGCCGUGAUAGAAUAUUGGGCAAAUUCCGUCCUUGGGGCAAUGAAGGCUGCAUCGUUUGUUACAUCGCUUAAAACUGAUCUCGAUGACUUGUACUUCCAUUACAAAAAUAGUGGACAGCCUUCAUCUUCAGCGGGUACCUCACACGUGACUCCGACACCUCCCUCUGAUGACUUUAGCCCAGUAGGUGCAUUGCCUCGACGCCGUCAGAAUUACGACAUCAUGAAUGAGUAUCAUCAGCUUGUUGCGUCGAAGAAUAUUAUGGGGUGUACUUCAGAGGUUGAACGGUAUUUUAUGGAAGAGGUCGAGGCACCUAGUCCUGCAUUUGAGAUAUGCAUUUGGUGGAAGGCUAAUUCCGUCAAGUAUCCAGUCCUUUCCCGUAUUGCUCGAGAUGGGCUAGCCAUUCCUAUUACGACGGUUGCAUCUGAGUAGGCGUUUAGCACUGGAGGUCGAGUGUUGGAUGCUUUUCGGAGUUCUUUGUCACCGUCAACUGUGGAGGCCCUCGUUUGCACACAGAACUGGAUCAGUGAUACACCCCUUGGACUAGAUAGCAUUGGCAUUGACGAUGAGAGCUAUAGGCUUGAAGAUGAUGUAAUUGUGAACCCCAGUAUAGUUGCUGAUGACUGAUGGAGUAUGGAUAAAGAUAAGUUGAUAUCAGAAUUAACUUAUUCCGUCCUUGGUAUUAAUGGUACUUCAAAUGACCAACUACGAUGCUGCAAAUGAUGUUUCUUUUUUGAUUGAAUCAAAAUGUUUGUUCUUAUGGACUGUUUAAUCAAACUUUGAACUCGGCUGUUAUUUCUAUUAUUCAUUGUUUAUGAUCUUCUGAAUUAUGUAUAAUAUUAAUACGCAGAUCGGUAUGCAAAUUCAUUUGUAUGUAAUAAAACUC